GUGAACGCUGGUGGUAGGCCUAACACAUGCAAGUCGAACGGCAGCACAGUAAGAGCUUGCUCUUACGGGUGGCGAGUGGCGGACGGGUGAGGAAUACAUCGGAAUCUACUUUUUCGUGGGGGAUAACGUAGGGAAACUUACGCUAAUACCGCAUACGACCUACGGGUGAAAGCAGGGGAUCUUCGGACCUUGCGCGAUUGAAUGAGCCGAUGUCGGAUUAGCUAGUUGGCGGGGUAAAGGCCCACCAAGGCGACGAUCCGUAGCUGGUCUGAGAGGAUGAUCAGCCACACUGGAACUGAGACACGGUCCAGACUCCUACGGGAGGCAGCAGUGGGGAAUAUUGGGCAAUGGGCGCAAGCCUGAUCCAGCCAUACCGCGUGGGUGAAGAAGGCCUUCGGGUUGUAAAGCCCUUUUGUUGGGAAAGAAAAGCAGCAGGUUAAUACCCCGCUGUUCUGACGGUACCCAAAGAAUAAGCACCGGCUAACUUCGUG
rnacentral:rRNA from 1 species